GAAAUGCGAUAACUAGUGUGAAUUGCAGAACUCAGCGAAUCAUCGAACUCUUGAACGCAUCUUGCACCCUUUGGAAACGAAGGGUAUGUCUGUUUGAGUGUUGGUUCAUUACUAUCACGAUCAAAUUUAUUUGAUAUGUGGAAUAUGAUCUUUGGUGAAUUUAUUCUCCAUUGAUUCAAGGAAAGAGAAGGUCUUGAUUGAAUUCAUAGACUUUUACAUUAGUGUUGUAGGUUCUUUUACCCCUCACUCGAUGUAUCUGUCAACCUGUCUUCAACUGGAAAAUCCCUUCAAAAAGAGGAAAUCCGAGAGAGAACAUUCCUCAAUUUACCAAUCCAUCAACCUCAAAUCAGUCAAGAUCACCCCCUGAACUUAA
rnacentral:misc_RNA from 1 species